ACUCCCCGCUAAGCAAGGAGCCUGAUGUACGACCUAACGUCCCUGGGAUCAUGACCUGAGUUCAAGGCAGAUGAGCCACCCAAGUGCCUCCUUGAGGAGUGCUUCUCAAUCUAUAUUCCAGAAUGGAGAUCCACAAUCAGAAGGAUUCUCACAGAAAGAGCGAUGUCUUCUUGGGGAUACAGAUGCUGUGCUCCAUUGCCUCACAAAGUCACAAUGCACAGUUACUGAGGCAGCAGAGUUCUAGAACCCAGUGCAGCAGCCUUGGGCUAACUCCUAACUGCUUCUGCGGGGUCCUUCCCGGCAGCUGAGUACAGAGGUGAAGAAUGAGGACUUUAGAUUCAGAUGGACCUAGGAUGGAACUGUGCCUCUAAGCUUCAGACCAAGACACUGAAAUGGGGUUAAUUAACCUCUCCUUGCCUCAAUUUCCUACAUUGUAGAUCAAAAGAGCAGCAGCACCUCCCUCCCAGGGCAAUUGUGCCCAGCAUCUAGUUAGCUGUGUUCAUCCACAUUUCAUUUCACCUGAAUCCCCAAGGAGGCCUGGGUUCACCCUUCAGAACUAAACAUAUGCAGAAGAGAAUAAUAAAGAAUAAUGGAACAGAAAGAAAAAUAAGGCAACACAAUUUAACAUGAAAUAUUAAAUGAGACCACACAUCCUUCACAUAUACAAACUACCUAACUUACUGGAAGCUAAUAUGUUGAGGAAACAGAGCCUGGGUGACUGGCUAAACUGCCCAAGGACUCAGAACUGCUGAAUAAAGCUGGACCAGAACUUUGGAUUUUGCUGAACAGUCAGAAUGUUUUCCACCCAAGAGUCUGCUCUCCAUGAGAAAAACCAAGGUUUCUCAUAGAGAAUCUCAGAAAGACUUGGUACUCUACAUCAUCUCCCCAACUCAAGUCACUUCAAGAAAUUCAGGCACCAUGGGCUUCUGCUUCCCACUCGGAUCCCAGGCAAGAUGGUGGCUCCCCUGAGAUGUCUCCAUUUCUACCCUAUCUGAAGGAAGUACACAGUCACUUGCUGUAAUUCUCUAUAGAACUAUGAUACAGUUUUUCCUCCUGUUUAUAUAUUAUUCAUUAGUUUCUGCCUGACAUCACCAGAAUGGAAGCUCCAUGAGAACAGAGGCACUUGUCUUCAUCCUGGUUGUAUCUACAGGUCCUACAACAGUAACUGGUACAUCAUAGGCAUAAAUGAAUUUGUGCUGAAUGGCUACAUACAGAGUUUUUGAUGAAAAAUUACUCCCAAACCAUUUCUGACAGGUUGAUAUUGUGAAGACAGAAGAAUCUCAUAAU